GAUUCCUUAGCUCAGCUGGUAGAGCAUCUGCCUUUUAAGCAGGGGGUCCUGGGUUCGAGCCCCAGAGGGAUCA
rnacentral:tRNA from 1 species